CAAUAGCGUAUAUUAAAGUUGUUGCAGUUAAAAAGCUCGUAGUUGGAUUUCUGGGAGGGUGCCAAUGUCCGUCAACGUGCGUGUGCAGCGGCGCCCCUGCAUCCUUCGGUUACCUCCGCUCGGCAUUCACUUGCCGGCGGUUGGCUCCGAAUAUUUACCUUGAGAAAAUUAGAGUGUUUCAGGCAGGCUAAGCCGGAAUACAUUAGCAUGGAAUAAUAGAAUAGGACUACGGUCUCGUUGUUGGUUUGAGGGACUGGAGUAAUGAUUAAUAGGGAUAGUUGGGGGCAUUAGUAUUUAAUUGUCAGAGGUGAAAUUCUCAGAUUAACUAAAGACUAACUUAUGCGAAAGCAUUUGCCAAGGAUGUUUUCAUUAA
rnacentral:rRNA from 1 species